GUGCUCGCUUUGGCAGCGCAUAUACUAAAAUUGGAGCAAUACAGAGAAGAUUAGCAUGUCCUAUAAGAUUAUUCCAAUAAUUAUUUAAAGUAGCUCAUGCAC
ensembl:snRNA U6 U6 spliceosomal RNA